AGACUGUGGACUUUUUGCUUUGCCUUCACAUGGUGGAAGGGGCAAGUGUUGUCUCUGGGGUCUCCUGACCUAAUCACCUCCCAUUCAUCUUGCGGGAUAGGAUUUCAAUGUAUGAAUCUUGGGUGGGGACACAGACGUUCAAACCACAGCUGUGAGGAGGGGCAGAAAAGCUGCAUGAGGUGAUGUGAAAGUUGAAAAGAGAAAAGUGUGAUGCUAUCCAGGAACCAUCUAAGGGAAAAACUCUUGCAAGGCAGAUUGAGAAUUUUAAAACAACACUCUCCCACCCAACUGCCCCAUGACAUCUGUUAACACAAGAGGCAGAGCUAUUUCCUGGAAAGCCUCCUUGUGUUUACAAGGGUGAGACCCUCUUGAUGUUUUUGCAACUUUAAUUAAAGAGCUGAGGGAUGGAUUUAUAUCCACAGCAGUUCCCAUGGGGGAACACACGGGCUGGUUGUACACAAUGCUGCACAGUCAAAUGAAAAGAGAAAAAGUCAAUCAAUUAUCCAGAUGUUUUGGAAUUUUACAUAAAUGUAGUCACAAUGGGGAUUUGAUCCUUGAUAAUAACGUAUUAUUCUUCCAUAAUGGUGGAGAAAAAUGUUCUUGGAAGGAAGACGAGAGUGUUUUCCUAAUACUCUUUUAUUCUUUCUUCUCCUUUCUGAGUUUAUACUUAACAGCAUCAAGCACAACAGAACAUGGAGACUGAGGACAGAAAACAGAAAAAAGCACAGGACAUGGCCCCCUCUCCAAAUUGCGGUUGAUGGGGGACUCAGCUCAACCUGGGCACUCAGGACCUAGGCUGACAAGGGCUCUGCCCUCGUAUGAUUUCACCAUCUCGACAGAAAGCUUUGGAGUUUUCACUGCAGCACGGGAGAAGAGUACGGAUAAUUGCAUACUGGUGCUUAAAUGCUUCCACCAGAACAAGACCCCUGUCACUUCCCUUCACUUCUCACUGACUAAAACAGCCAUGAAUAUUAUGCCUGUGUGAUUUCUCAGUGGAGAAGGAGUCUUGUCUAAUAGGAGGCACAGGGGGAAGGCUUCCUGGAACAUGUGGAGAAAAAUAAGGAAAAUGACCCAAGUGAAACGUAAAUCCAGAAACAGAAAAUCAACACCAAACGGAUAGUUUUCCCAGCUGGACUCCUUGCUUGUACUGAAUCCAGAGGCUGCUGGAAUAAGACUGAUUUAGAGGGAAU